rnacentral:rRNA from 1 species
AGCGAACGCUGGCGGCAUGCUUAACACGUGCCAGUCGCGCGGUUGGUUUCGGCCAUCAGCGGCGGACGGGUGAGUAUCGCGUAGGAAUGUAUCCCGAGGUGGGGGACAACCCUGGGAAACUGGGGCUAAUACCGCAUGUGGCCUGUGGGUCAAAGCCUUAGGGCGCCUUGGGAGCAGCCUGCGUCCGAUUAGGUAGUUGGUGGGGUAAAGGCCUACCAAGCCUGCGAUCGGUAGCUGGUCUGAGAGGACGAUCAGCCACACUGGGACUGAGACACGGCCCAGACUCCUACGGGAGGCAGCAGUGGGGAAUAUUGGACAAUGGGCGAAAGACUGAUCCAGCAAUGCCGCGUGGGUGAAGAAGGUCUUCGGAUUGUAAAGCCCUUUCGGCGGGGACGAUGAUGACGGUACCCGCAGAAGAAGCCCCGGCUAACUUCGUG